UACGGAGGGAGCUAGCGUUGUUCGGAAUUACUGGGCGUAAAGCGCACGUAGGCGGAUCCUUAAGUCGGGGGUGAAAUCCUGGAGCUCAACUCCAGAACUGCCUUCGAUACUGAGGAUCUCGAGUCCGGGAGAGGUGAGUGGAACUGCGAGUGUAGAGGUGAAAUUCGUAGAUAUUCGCAAGAACACCAGUGGCGAAGGCGGCUCACUGGCCCGGUACUGACGCUGAGGUGCGAAAGCGUGGGGAGCAAACAGG
rnacentral:rRNA from 1 species